UACGAGGGGGGCGAGCGUUGUUCGGAAUUAUUGGGCGUAAAGGGUGCGUAGGCGGUUUGGUAAGUCUGGUGUGAAAUCUAUGGGCUCAACUCAUAGUCUGCAUCGGAAACUGCCGGGCUUGAGUGUGGGAGAGGUGAGUGGAAUUCCUGGUGUAGCGGUGGAAUGCGCAGAUAUCAGGAGGAACACCGAUGGCGAAGGCAGGUCACUGGGCCGCAACUGACGCUGAGGAGCGAAAGCUAGGGGAGCAAACAGG
rnacentral:rRNA from 1 species